GCGGCGGUAGUUCAGUUGGUAGAACGUCUCCUUGCCAAGGAGGAGGUCGCGAGUUCGAAUCUCGUCCGCCGCU
rnacentral:tRNA from 1 species